rnacentral:rRNA from 1 species
GACGAACGCUGGCGGCGUGCUUAACACAUGCAAGUCGAACGGAAAGACCCUGCUUUUGUGGGGUGCUCGAGUGGCGAACGGGUGAGUAACACGUGAGUAACCUGCCCUUGACUUUGGGAUAACUUCAGGAAACUGGGGCUAAUACCGGAUAGGAACUCCUGCUGCAUGGUGGGGGUUGGAAAGUUUCGGCGGUUGGGGAUGGUCUCGGGGCUUAUCAGCUUGUUGGUGGGGUAGUGGCUUACCAAGGCCUUGACGGGUAGCCGGCCUGAGAGGGUGACCGGCCACAUUGGGACUGAGAUACGGCGCAGACGCCUACGGGAGGCAGCAGGGGGGAAUAUUGCACAAUGGGCGGAAGCCUGAUGCAGCAACGCCGCGUGCGGGAUGACGGCCUUCGGGUUGUAAACCGCUUUCGCCUGUGACGAAGCGUGAGUGACGGUAAUGGGUAAAGAAGCACCGGCUAACUACGUG